GUUACCUUCGGGUAAUGAGGAUGGCGGACGGGUGAGUAACGCGUAAGGAACUUGCCUCUUGGACUGGGACAACUGUUGGAAACGACAGCUAAUACCGGAUAUUAUGAGAUUCUCGCAUGAGAAACUUAUGAAAGCUAUAUGCGCCAAGAGAGAGCCUUGCGUUCCAUUAGCUAGUUGGUGGGGUAACGGCCCACCAAGGCGACGAUGGAUAGCCGGCCUGAGAGGGUGAACGGCCACAAGGGGACUGAGACACGGCCCUUACUCCUACGGGAGGCAGCAGUGGGGAAUAUUGGACAAUGGGCCACAAGCCUGAUCCAGCAAUUCUGUGUGCACGAUGAAGGUCUUCGGAUUGUAAAGUGCUUUCAGUUGGGAAGAAGAAAGUGACGGUACCAACAGAAGAAGCGACGGCUAAAUACGUGCCAGCAGCCGCGGUAAUACGUAUGUCGCAAGCGUUAUCCGGAUUUAUUGGGCGUAAAGCGCGUCUAGGCGGAAAAAUAAGUCUGAUGUUAAAAUGCGGGGCUCAACUCCGUAUUGCGUUGGAAACUGUUUUUCUAGAGUACUGGAGAGGUGGGCGGAACUACAAGUGUAGAGGUGAAAUUCGUAGAUAUUUGUAGGAAUGCCGAUGGAGAAGUCAGCUCACUGGACAGAUACUGACGCUGAAGCGCGAAAGCGUG
rnacentral:rRNA from 1 species